AACCUAGCACACCUGCGGUGUGUACCUGCGGAGGGAUCAUUACACAAAUUAAAAUAUGAAGGCUUCGGCUGGAUUAUUUUUAUCACCCUUGUCUUUUGCGCACUUGUUGUUUCCUGGGCGGGUUCGCCCGCCACCAGGACCACACCAUAAACCUUUUUUAUGCAGUUGCAAUCAGCGUCAGUAUAACAAAUGUAAAUCAUUUACAACUUUCAACAACGGAUCUCAGAUCGGAAGAGCACA
rnacentral:misc_RNA from 1 species